GACGAACGCUGGCGGCGUGCCUAAUACAUGCAAGUCGAACGCAGUGGGGACGGGUGAGUAACACGUGGGUAACCUCCCAUCAGAGGGGAUAACACUUGGAAACAGGUGCUAAACCGAUACUGAUGGAUGGACCCGCGGUGCAUUAGCUAGUUGGGGAGGUAACGGCUCACGAAGGCCACGAUGCAUAGCCAACAUGAGAGGGAGAUCGGCUACACUGGGACUGAGACACGACCCAGACUCCUACGCGAGGCAGCGGUAGGGAAUCUUCGGCAAUGGACGAAAGUCUGACCGUGCAACACCGCGUGAGUGAAGAAGGUUUUCGGAUCGGAAAGCUCUGUUGUUCGAGAAGCGGUAUCUAACCAGAAAGCCCCGGCUAACUACGUGCCAGCAGCCGCGGUAAUUC
rnacentral:rRNA from 1 species